rnacentral:rRNA from 1 species
GAUGAACGCUGGCUACAGGCCUAACACAUGCAAGUCGAGGGGAAACGACGGGGAAGCUUGCUUCUCCGGGCGUCGACCGGCGCACGGGUGAGUAACGCGUAUCCAACCUGCCUCUCACUGAGGGAUAACCCGACGAAAGUCGGCCUAAUACCUCAUGUCAUCGCCUGCGGGCAUCCAACGACGAUUAAAUAUUUCUUUGGCCUGUGAUGGGGAUGCGUCUGAUUAGCUUGUUGGCGGGGUAACGGCCCACCAAGGCGACGAUUAGUAGGGGUACUGAGAGGCAGGUCCCCCAGAAUGGAGCUGAGGCACAGUCCACACUGGUACGGGACGCAGCAGUGAGGAAUAUUAGUCGAUGAGCGAGAGCCUGAACCCGCCAAGUAGCGUACAAGAGGACGGCCAUAUGAGUUGUAAACUGCUUUUAUGCGGGGAUAAAGUGAGGGACGUGUCAUACAUUGCAGGUACCGAAUGAAUAAGGACCGGCUAAUUCCGUG